rnacentral:rRNA from 1 species
AGCGAACGCUGGCGGCAGGCCUAACACAUGCAAGUCGAACGAACUCUUCGGAGUUAGUGGCGGACGGGUGAGUAACACGUGGGAACGUGCAUUUAGGUACGGAAUAAUUCAGGGAAACUUGUGCUAAUACCGAAUGUGCCAUUCGGGGGAAAGAUUUAUCGCCUUUGGGUCGGCCCGCGUCUGUUUAGCCGGUUGGUGAGGUAAAGGCGCACCAAGGGGACGAUCAGUAGCUGGUCUGAUAGGAUGCCCAGCCACAUUGGAACUGAGACACGGCCCAAAAUCGGACGGGACGCAGCAGAGGGGAAUCUUGCGCGAUGGGGGAAAGCCUGACGAAGCCAUGCCGCGUGAAUGAUGAAGGGCGUAGUAUUGUAAAAUUCUUUCACCGGGAGCGAGAAUGACGGUACCCGGAGAAGAAGCCCCGGCUAACUUCGUG